AUUGAACGCUGGCGGCAGGCCUAACACAUGCAAGUCGAACGAGUGGCGGACGGGUGAGUAAUGUCUGGGAAACUGCCUGAUGGAGGGGGAUCACUACUGGACACGGUCGCUAAUACCGCAUACCCUCAGAUAUGCCCAGAUGGGCUUAGCUUGGUGGUGGGGUAACGGCUCACCAAGGCGACGCUCCCUGGCUGGUCUGAGAGGAUGACCAGCCACACGGGAACUGAGCCACGGCCAAGACCCCUCCGGGAGGAAGCAGGGGGGAAUAUGGCACAAUGGGCGCAAGCCUGAUGCAGCCAGGCCGCGUGUAUGAAGAAGGCCUUCGGGUUGUAAAGUACUUUCAGCGGGGAGGCGUUACCCGAAGAAGAAGCACCGGCUAACUCCGUGCAAGCAGCCGCGGUAAUAC
rnacentral:rRNA from 1 species